AAUCAGGCCACCCCGUGGCAUGGUCCCUUCUCUUACGAGCAUCUGUACCUAUCUCUAUUGCCCUGGGUCAAUGCCACCGCCUCUCCUGCUCCUCCUGAGCCAGUGCAAAUAUACAAUACAGUCUUACACGGAAUGGGAGCUGCAGCCUCGUGCUCUGGACCUUAAUAGUUCUCUUUAUGACUCUACAGAAACCUGGAAAUAAGUGAAAGACUCGGAUGCUUGGGGAAGUCUCUGCCUGCUGAGAGAACAGAUGAUCUGCUUGACAACUAGGAGUCAUGUCAUUGGAUGUACUGCUGGCACAUGGUCCUUUCCUUCAACUAGGUGCAAGUUACAAAGUAACUGGACCUUGCCUUCCCCAGUAUCCCUCCUUGAGCCCAAGACACAAACCCAUGAUGGAAGACAGCUGCUGCUGUAGAAGUCUCAACUGGGAACAUUGUGCAACUCAUGUGCACAAGAGGAGAGUGGUAUGCCAUGGCAUAGGAAGCUGCGAAUCACUUGGAGUCACCAGAAUGAUCAGACGAGCUGCUUGGGACCUGAGUUGCCAUCCUUUCUGCUGCCAGUGCUAUACUGUCCUUUUUAAGAUCCAUCUACCUGGCUUCUGCAGUGCUGAUGUGGUGGCGUGUGCUUGGGCAUCUGUUUGGAGUGAACCCAACUGCUCCUCGUGA
rnacentral:lncRNA from 1 species